rnacentral:rRNA from 1 species
AGGGCGCACGGUGGAUGCCUUGGCACUAGGAGCCGAUGAAGGACGGGACUAACACCGAUAUGCUUUGGGGAGCUGUAAGUAAGCUAUGAUCCAGAGAUUUCCGAAUGGGGGAACCCAAUAUCUUUUAUAGGAUAUUACUUUUCAGUGAAUACAUAGCUGAUUAGAGGUAGACGCAGAGAACUGAAACAUCUUAGUACCUGCAGGAAGAGAAAGAAAAAUCGAUUCCCUGAGUAGCGGCGAGCGAAACGGGAAGAGCCCAAACCAACAAGCUUGCUUGUUGGGGUUGUAGGACUCCAAUAUGGUAGUCUGUUAGUAUAGUUGAAGGAUUUGGAAAAUUCCGCUAAAGAGGGUGAAAGCCCCGUAGACGAAAUGCUGACAACACCUAGGAGGAUCCUGAGUACGGCGGAACACGAGAAAUUCCGUCGGAAUCCGCGGGGACCAUCCCGCAAGGCUAAAUACUCCCUAGUGACCGAUAGUGAACCAGUACCGUGAGGGAAAGGUGAAAAGCACCCCGGAAGGGGAGUGAAAUAGAUCCUGAAACCGUGUGCCUACAACAAGUCAAAGCUCGUUAAUGAGUGAUGGCGUGCCUUUUGUAGAAUGAACCGGCGAGUUACGAUUGCAUGCGAGGUUAAGUCGAAGAGACGGAGCCGCAGCGAAAGCGAGUCUGAAUAGGGCGAAUGAGUAUGUAGUCGUAGACCCGAAACCAUGUGAUCUACCCAUGUCCAGGUUGAAGGUGCGGUAAAACGCACUGGAGGACCGAACCCACGUACGUUGAAAAGUGCGGGGAUGAGGUGUGGGUAGCGGAGAAAUUCCAAACGAACUUGGAGAUAGCUGGUUCUCUCCGAAAUAGCUUUAGGGCUAGCCUCGGAAUUGAGAAUGAUGGAGGUAGAGCACUGUUUGGACUAGGGGCCCAUCUCGGGUUACCGAAUUCAGAUAAACUCCGAAUGCCAUUCAUUUAUAUCCGGGAGUCAGACUGCGAGUGAUAAGAUCCGUAGUCGAAAGGGAAACAGCCCAGACCACCAGCUAAGGUCCCAAAAUAUAUGUUAAGUGGAAAAGGAUGUGGGGUUGCACAGACAACUAGGAUGUUGGCUUAGAAGCAGCCACCAUUUAAAGAGUGCGUAAUAGCUCACUAGUCGAGUGACCCUGCGCCGAAAAUGUACCGGGGCUAAACAUAUUACCGAAGCUGUGGACUACACCAUUAGGUGUAGUGGUAGGAGAGCGUUCUAAGGGCGUUGAAGGUCGAUCGUGAGGACGGCUGGAGCGCUUAGAAGUGAGAAUGCCGGUAUGAGUAGCGAAAGACAGGUGAGAAUCCUGUCCACCGUAUGACUAAGGUUUCCUGGGGAAGGCUCGUCCGCCCAGGGUUAGUCGGGACCUAAGCCGAGGCCGAUAGGCGUAGGCGAUGGACAACAGGUUGAUAUUCCUGUACCACCUUAACACGUUAUACGAUGCAGUGACACAGAAGGAUAGGCAAAGCGGGUUGAUGGUAGAACCCGUCCAAGCACUGAGGGUGCAGCGUAGUGAAGUACGCGCUGUGAUAAGCCUGGGGUGUGAUGGGGACAGAAAAUAAGUAUGGAAGUUGCUGAAUUCACGCUGGCGAGAAAAGCUGCUAAGGAGUGUUAUUGGUGCCUGUACCGCAAACCGACACAGGUAGGCGAGGAGAGAAUCCUAAGACGAGCGGGAGAACCCUUGUUAAGGAACUCGGCAAAAUGACCCCGUAACUUUGGGAGAAGGGGUGCCUCGAAAGAGGCCGCAGUGAAUAGGCCCAAGCGACUGUUUAGCAAAAACACAGGUCUGUGCCAAGUCGAGAGACGAUGUAUACAGGCUGACGCCUGCCCAGUGCCGGAAGGUCAAGGGGAAGUGUUAGGGCAACCGAAGCACGGAACUUAAGCCCCGGUGAACGGCGGCCGUAACUAUAACGGUCCUAAGGUAGCGAAAUUCCUUGUCGGGUAAGUUCCGACCCGCACGAAUGGCGUAACGAUUUGGGCACUGUCUCAACAAGGGACCCGGCGAAAUUGUAGUAUGCGUGAAGAUGCGCAUUGCCCGCGAUAGGACGGAAAGACCCCGUAGAGCUUUACUGUAGCUUGGUAUUGGAUUUUGGCAGCGCUUGUACAGGAUAGGUGGGAGGCUAGGAAACGAGGACGCCAGUUUUCGUGGAGCCAUCGUUGGGAUACCACUCUUGUGUUGCUGGAGUUCUAACGUCGCGCGGUUAUCCCGGCGACGGACAGUGCCAGGUGGGCAGUUUGACUGGGGCGGUCGCCUCCUAAAAGGUAACGGAGGCGCCCAAAGGUUCCCUCAGAAUGGUCGGAAAUCAUUCGCAGAGUGCAAAAGCAGAAGGGAGCUUGACUGUGAGAGAGACAUCUCGAGCAGGUACGAAAGUAGGGUUUAGUGAUCCGGCGGCAUUAAGUGGGUUAGCCGUCGCUCAACGGAUAAAAGCUACCUCGGGGAUAACAGGCUUAUCUCCCCCAAGAGUCCACAUCGACGGGGAGGUUUGGCACCUCGAUGUCGGCUCGUCGCAUCCUGGGGCUGUAGUCGGUCCCAAGGGUUGGGCUGUUCGCCCAUUAAAGC